AUUGAACGCUGGCGGCAGGCCUAACACAUGCAAGUCGAGCGGAUGAAGGGAGCUUGCUCCUGGAGUCAGCGGCGGACGGGUGAGUAAUGCAUAGGAACCUGCCUGGUCGUGGGGGAUAACGUCCGGAAACGGGCGCUAAUACCGCAUACGUCCUGAGGGUGAAAGUGGGGGACCUUCGGACCUCACGCUAUCAGAUGAGCCUAGGUCGGAUUAGCUAGUUGGUGGGGUAAAGGCCUACCAAGGCGACGAUCCGUAACUGGUCUGAGAGGAUGAUCAGUCACACUGGAACUGAGACACGGUCCAGACUCCUACGGGAGGCAGCAGUGGGGAAUAUUGGACAAUGGGCGAAAGCCUGAUCCAGCCAUGCCGCGUGUGGGAAGAAGGUCUUCGGGUUGUAAAGCACUUUUAGUCGGAAGGAAGAGCAGUAAGUUAAUACCUUGCUGUUUUGACGUUACCAAAAGAAUAAGCACCGGCUAACUACGUG
rnacentral:rRNA from 1 species